rnacentral:rRNA from 4 species
AGACCCGAAACCCGGUGAUCUAGCCAUGGGCAGGUUGAAGGUUGGGUAACACUAACUGGAGGACCGAACCGACUAAUGUUGAAAAAUUAGCGGAUGACCUGUGGCUGGGGGUGAAAGGCCAAUCAAACCGGGAGAUAGCUGGUUCUCCCCGAAAGCUAUUUAGGUAGCGCCUCGUGAAUUCAUCUCCGGGGGUAGAGCACUGUUUCGGCUAGGGGGCCAUCCCGGCUUACCAACCCGAUGCAAACUGCGAAUACCGGAGAAUGUUAUCACGGGAGACACACGGCGGGUGCUAACGUCCGUCGUGAAGAGGGAAACAACCCAGACCGCCAGCUAAGGUCCCAAAGUCAUGGUUAAGUGGGAAACGAUGUGGGAAGGCCCAGACAGCCAGGAUGUUGGCUUAGAAGCAGCCAUCAUUUAAAGAAAGCGUAAUAGCUCACUGGUCGAGUCGGCCUGCGCGGAAGAUGUAACGGGGCUAAACCAUGCACCGAAGCUGCGGCAGCGACACUCAGGUGUUGUUGGGUAGGGGAGCGUUCUGUAAGCCUGCGAAGGUGGCCUGUGAGGGUUGCUGGAGGUAUCAGAAGUGCGAAUGCUGACAUAAGUAACGAUAAAGCGGGUGAAAAGCCCGCUCGCCGGAAGACCAAGGGUUCCUGUCCAACGUUAAUCGGGGCAGGGUGAGUCGACCCCUAAGGCGAGGCCGAAAGGCGUAGUCGAUGGGAAACGGGUUAAUAUUCCCGUACUUGGUGUUACUGCGAAGGGGGGACGGAGAAGGCUAUGUUGGCCGGGCGACGGUUGUCCCGGUUUAAGCGUGUAGGUGUGUGUUCCAGGUAAAUCCGGUUCACUUUAACACUGAGGCGUGACGACGAGGCACUACGGUGCUGAAGCAACAAAUGCCCUGCUUCCAGGAAAAGCCUCUAAGCAUCAGGUAACAUCAAAUCGUACCCCAAACCGACACAGGUGGUCAGGUAGAGAAUACCAAGGCGCUUGAGAGAACUCGGGUGAAGGAACUAGGCAAAAUGGUGCCGUAACUUCGGGAGAAGGCACGCUGACACGUAGGUGAAGUGAUUUACUCA